rnacentral:rRNA from 1 species
AUUGAACGCUGGCGGCAUGCCUUACACAUGCAAGUCGAACGGCAGCGCGGGGCAACCUGGCGGCGAGUGGCGAACGGGUGAGUAAUAUAUCGGAACGUACCCUGGAGUGGGGGAUAACGUAGCGAAAGUUACGCUAAUACCGCAUACGAUCUAAGGAUGAAAGUGGGGGAUCGCAAGACCUCAUGCUCCUGGAGCGGCCGAUAUCUGAUUAGCUAGUUGGUAGGGUAAAAGCCUACCAAGGCAUCGAUCAGUAGCUGGUCUGAGAGGACGACCAGCCACACUGGAACUGAGACACGGUCCAGACUCCUACGGGAGGCAGCAGUGGGGAAUUUUGGACAAUGGGCGCAAGCCUGAUCCAGCAAUGCCGCGUGAGUGAAGAAGGCCUUCGGGUUGUAAAGCUCUUUUGUCAGGGAAGAAACGGUGCUUUCUAAUACAGAGCGCUAAUGACGGUACCUGAAGAAUAAGCACCGGCUAACUACGUGCCAGCAGCCGCGGUAAUACGUAGGGUGCAAGCGUUAAUCGGAAUUACUGGGCGUAAAGCGUGCGCAGGCGGUUUUGUAAGACUGUCGUGAAAUCCCCGGGCUCAACCUGGGAAUGGCGAUGGUGACUGCAAGGCUAGAGUUUGGCAGAGGGGGGUAGAAUUCCACGUGUAGCAGUGAAAUGCGUAGAUAUGUGGAGGAACACCGAUGGCGAAGGCAGCCCCCUGGGUCAAAACUGACGCUCAUGCACGAAAGCGUGGGGAGCAAACAGGAUUAGAUACCCUGGUAGUCCACGCCCUAAACGAUGUCUACUAGUUGUCGGGUUUUAAUUAACUUGGUAACGCAGCUAACGCGUGAAGUAGACCGCCUGGGGGGUACGGUCGCAAGAUUAAAACUCAAAGGAAUUGACGGGGACCCGCACAAGCGGUGGAUGAUGUGGAUUAAUUCGAUGCAACGCGAAAAACCUUACCUACCCUUGACAUGGCAGAAAUCCCGGAGAGAUUUGGGAGUGCUCGAAAGAGAAUCUGCACACAGGUGCUGCAUGGCUGUCGUCAGCUCGUGUCGUGAGAUGUUGGGUUAAGUCCCGCAACGAGCGCAACCCUUGUCAUUAGUUGCUACGAAAGAGCACUCUAAUGAGACUGCCGGUGACAAACCGGAGGAAGGUGGGGAUGACGUCAAGUCCUCAUGGCCCUUAUGGGUAGGGCUUCACACGUCAUACAAUGGUACAUACAGAGGGCCGCCAACCCGCGAGGGGGAGCUAAUCCCAGAAAGUGUAUCGUAGUCCGGAUUGUAGUCUGCAACUCGACUGCAUGAAGUUGGAAUCGCUAGUAAUCGCGGAUCAGCAUGUCGCGGUGAAUACGUUCCCGGGUCU